AGACCAUGUGUAGGACAUCUACACAGUAAAUCCUUAAAACGCUCUCAUGUAGUAUGGACGUUCUCAUGGUUAGCUUGGUCAAAAUAAGUGAUAUUAUUUUGUAGCUU